UGGGGAAUUUUGGACAAUGGGGGAAACCCUGAUCCAGCCAUCCCGCGUGUGCGAUGAAGGCCUUCGGGUUGUAAAGCACUUUUGGCAGGAAAGAAACGUCAUGGGUUAAUACCCCGUGAAACUGACGGUACCUGCAGAAUAAGCACCGGCUAACUACGUGCCAGCAGCCGCGGUAAUACGUAGGGUGCAAGCGUUAAUCGGAAUUACUGGGCGUAAAGCGUGCGCAGGCGGUUCGGAAAGAAAGAUGUGAAAUCCCAGAGCUCAACUUUGGAACUGCAUUUUUAACUACCGGGCUAGAGUGUGUCAGAGGGAGGUGGAAUUCCGCGUGUAGCAGUGAAAUGCGUAGAUAUGCGGAGGAACACCGAUGGCGAAGGCAGCCUCCUGGGAUAACACUGACGCUCAUGCACGAAAGCGUAGGGAGCAAACAGG
rnacentral:rRNA from 1 species